rnacentral:rRNA from 1 species
UACGGAGGGAGCUAGCGUUGUUCGGAAUUACUGGGCGUAAAGCGCGCGUAGGCGGCUUUGUAAGUUAGAGGUGAAAGCCCGGGGCUCAACCCCGGAACUGCCUUUAAGACUGCAUCGCUUGAAUCCGGGAGAGGUGAGUGGAAUUCCGAGUGUAGAGGUGAAAUUCGUAGAUAUUCGGAAGAACACCAGUGGCGAAGGCGGCUCACUGGACCGGCAUUGACGCUGAGGUGCGAAAGCGUGGGGAGCAAACGGG